rnacentral:rRNA from 1 species
CCCUUAGAUGUCCUGGGCGGCCCGCGCACUACAUUGGCACUCUCAAUAAGUUCCUAGAUCUAAAACUUUGGGGUAUUCUAUUAAGUGGUGUCGUGACUGGGAUUAACCCUUGCAAUUAUUGGUUACGAACGAGGAAUUCCUUGUAAUCGCGGUUUAUCAGCCCGCGUUGAAUGCGUCCCUGCCCUUUGUACACACCGCCCGUCGCUCCUACCGAUGAAUCGUCCGGUGAAGUUCAUGGAGUGGUGGUUGUUCCAGCUGCUGUCGAAGUGAAAUGGACCUCACGAUUUAGAGGAAGGAGAAGUCGUAACA